rnacentral:rRNA from 1 species
UACAGAGGGGGCAAGCGUUAUUCGGAAUUAUUGGGCGUAAAGGGCGCGUAGGCGGUUCUUCAAGUCUCUCGUGAAAUCCCUCGGCUUAACUGAGGACGUGCGGGAGAUACUGAAGGGCUUGAGUCCGGAAGAGGGUGGUGGAAUUCCCAGUGUAGCGGUGAAAUGCGUAGAUAUCCGGAGGAACACCGGUGGCGAAGGCGGCUUCCUGGACCGAUUACUGACGCUGAGGCGCGAAAGCUAGGGGAGCAAACGGG